rnacentral:rRNA from 1 species
UACAGAGGUCUCGAGCGUUGUUCGGAUUCAUUGGGCGUAAAGGGUGCGUAGGCGGCGCGGUAAGUCGGGUGUGAAAUCUUGGAGCUUAACUCCGAAACUGCAUUCGAUACUGCCGUGCUUGAGGACUGGAGAGGAGACUGGAAUUUACGGUGUAGCAGUGAAAUGCGUAGAUAUCGUAAGGAAGGCCGGUGGCGAAAGCGAGCCUCUGGACAGUUACUGACGCUGAUGCACGAAGGCCAGGGGAGCAAACGGG